GGCCGCGGGAGGGCGGCGCGCAGGCGCAGCGCGGCCCGGCGGGGCUGCGGGAGCGCUGAGGGCAGCGCGUACCGGGGCGCGCCGUGCGGCGGGGGGCGCCGGGCUGCCCGCGACACCGUCUGCGAGGGCUGCCCGGAGGCGGUGGGGAGCGGGUUGCAGCCGGUGAUGGUGACCGGAGGCAGCCGCUCGGGUGCGCGCUCCCGAUCGGCGGGUAACGAGCCGGCACGGGGAGCUGCUGAGAGAAGUUAGCGUUGGUGGUUACAGCGAAGCCGGAAUAACCUUGCUGAACUCUUGAGCUUGUUUUCGGAGAUUCGCUCUAAGCCUUCCAUGUACAAGGAAACGGAAUACCUCUACUAUCGUUAGUGUUUAUAAAAAAACCCCGACCUCGCUUCCCGCCGCCCCCGCCUCAGGAGUUUCUAGACUGCAGCAAAAUGAAGAUGACAGUGAAAAUUUUUGUUGCCGCUGGAAGUAAUACUUUAUGAGCUACAGUUUUACCAGUGCUGCGUGCUCUUACUUCAGCACACUAUCCAUCUUAUGUGGAGCUGCAGAUGGCGCCAGACUCUGCUGCUGCUUCCCACAGUGCAGUGCCACCCGUGUCCCUGCCCUGGCACGGGCACAGCCACCUCGGGAAGGAAGGGAGCACCUGCUGAAGGUGGAUCUUGAUUGGGGUGGGACAGGUGAGGGCGUGAGCUGAAGGUGAGUAAUGGUCAGAAAAAAUCCUGCGGAGCUUGCUGAGGUGUGAAAUGUUCUGUGCUAACUGGACUGGCUGUGGCUGUGAGUCCCCAGGGCUGGGUUUGAAGCUGUGCACUGCAGA